rnacentral:lncRNA from 1 species
UUGGAUCAGUAAGGAAAUCGGAGACAUCAAAAUGAGUCACAUCAAUUGGACCAUCAUAAUCAGCAAAAUUAGUCUCCAAUUUUUCUUUUCCCUUGAUUGAUCUCUGGUAGAGAUCCACAAGAUGUUUUGAGGUACGACACGUACGUGCCCAAUGCCCUUUCAUUCCACAUCUGAAGCAACUUUCUUCAUGCUCCUUUUUAGAUUUGCCACUCUCGUUUGCUUUGUGCCUUUUGAAUUUAUUGCCUUGUUGUUGAUAACUUUGUUGAUUAUUUCUUCCAUGAUUUAUUUCACGUACACGUCCGUGUCCGUGUCCACGUCCACGUCCACGUCCGCAUCCACGUCCUUGUCUUGAUAUUGUAUUUGCUUCAGACAAUGUAGUACCAUUUCUU